rnacentral:lncRNA from 1 species
AGAAAGCAAAGGAUUGACGAACUUUGGCCAACGCUGACCUCUCCAUCUCCACACUCAUGGAGCCAUGAACAGAACAUGGAGAGAUGCAGCUUGAUGACAAAGGAGAUAACAACAGGGGUCUAAAAUUAAGCAUCCUUUUUAGGUUCCUACAGAACAAAUAGCUGAAAUUAAAUCAUGAAAUUAACUAUAGCAAAGUAAAUCAUAUUUUUUUUAUGUAUAUUCCUAAAAAUCUAGAAUGCUAAGUGUUUAUAAUAUAUCCAUGAGGAUCACUCCAUAUUUGACUAACAUUGUAUAGUAUAAUAUAAAAUGUCAAUAGUUCCAAUAGAGUAAAAAGUUUCUACAGAUUUUUCAAGAAUGAUGAGCAUAAAGUUCUACAAUAAUGAAAACUAAUUUAGUACGCGUAGUAAUAGAAAAUCAAGAAGCACAGGAUCGGGUGCUAUUAAUUAAAUACAACUAGAACGAAAAUAAGCAUCACUCUUGUAUUUGUAUGAUGGGUAUUUGAAAUUAACACUAAACACACACUCACAGACAUACACAAAAAAGCAGUACCUGAACACGCAGACAUAAGAUUUGGUGGCCACACGUUUUCUUCCUUUCCUUCG